rnacentral:rRNA from 1 species
GACGCUGGCGGCGCGCCUAACACAUGCAAGUCGAACGAGCGAGAGAGAGCUUGCUUUCUCGAGCGAGUGGCGAACGGGUGAGUAACGCGUGAGCAACCUGCCCUUCAGAGGGGGAUAGUGUCUGGAAACGGACAGUAAUACCGCAUAAUGUACAUUGAUGGCAUCUUCGAUGUACCAAAGCUUUUGCGCUGAAGGAUGGGCUCGCGUCUGAUUAGAUAGUUGGUGGGGUAAUGGCCUACCAAGUCGACGAUCAGUAGCCGGACUGAGAGGUUGAACGGCCACAUUGGGACUGAGACACGGCCCAGACUCCUACGGGAGGCAGCAGUGGGGAAUAUUGCACAAUGGGCGCAAGCCUGAUGCAGCAACGCCGCGUGGAGGAAGACGGUUUUCGGAUUGUAAACUCCUGUUCUUAGUGAAGAAUAAUGACGGUAGCUAAGGAGCAAGCCACGGCUAACUACGUG